GAAAAGAAAAAAUGGAUUUAGCCAAAUUUGACUAAAACCGAGCCCAAUCAGAUUGGGCUAAGUCCAGACGAACCCAAACUAUAAAUUGAAUAUGAAUCAAGCCCAAUUCAAAACCAGUUUAACUAAAUUGAGACCGAAUUGACUUUGAGCUGACCCUGACUCAAGCCUAGAUGAGCCCAAUAACAUAAUCAGAAGACCAAAUUGACCCGAUAGGGCUAGACCCAAUCAAAAACCGAGCUCAAUUCUUUAAUUAAAGACCCAAUUGACCUAUCCAACCUCAUCAUAAUCUAAAGGAGUUGGAUGUAAGUCAUUAUAUGGGCAUCAGUUUACCCAAUUGGAUAUCAAGGGAGAAGUGGUGGUAUCUUCUCUUCCAAAUCUUGUUAGGCUCACAUUGCAGGGACUCGAGAGGUGUGAAUGCCUUCCACCACUUGGUCAAUUGCCCUAUUUAAAGAUUCUCACUAUGUCUGAAAUGGUUGUUGUGAAGAGAAUCGGAGAGGAGUUUUAUGGGGAUGAUGGCAGCAGUGCAUUCCCAUCGCUACAGGAGUUGUAUUUAACUGACAUGCCCAAUUUGGAGGAAUGGCAAAUAGAACCAAUGUCAGCAGGAAGAAAGAUGGCAUCCUUCCCUUGCCUUAUUGAAUUGAGUAUAGAUUCAUGCCCCAUAUUAAUGGUGCAUCCAGGUAUCCCAUGCUUUGUGGAGGAUCUUACAAUAGUGGAGAGCAAUGAGAUGCUCUUAUCAGCAGGGAACCUUGCAGGGUUGUCCCAACUUAAAAUGCUCGAAAUUCAGAACUGUGAAGUAUCAUCAUCUUCUGGGUGGUGGGAUGGGCUGCAAUACCUCACCGCCCUUGAGGAGCUACGAAUUUCGGAAUGUGAUGAGCUCACUUGUCUGCCUGAGGGUAUUAUGUACCUGCCCUCACUCCAUACCCUUGAUUUAGACGAAAACAAAAAUUUGAUGAGUCUAGAGGGGGGAGGAAGGAAGCCACAGCAGCCCACCCCCUUCUUCCCUGCACUACAAGAUCUAGAAAUACAAGGAACCGACACGUUAGCUGCUUUGCCAGAGUGGGUAGGAGGCCUCACAUCCCUCCAAAAUCUAUUAAUUACGGAAUGUCCCUACCUUGCAAUGCUGCCAGAUGGCCUGCAACACCUCACCGCACUCCAAAAGCUGGAUAUCUCUGACUUGCCCCAGCUGACAAUGCUGCCAGAUGGCCUGCAACACCUAACCGCACUCCAGAAGCUGGAAAUCUCCGACUUGCCCCAGCUGACAAUGCUGCCAGAUGGCCUGCGACACCUCACCGCACUCCAAGUACUGCAUAUCUACGACUGCCCCCAGCUGGCAAUGCUGCCAGAUGGCCUGCGACACCUCACCGCACUCCAAGAGCUGCAUAUCGCCUCCUGCCCCCAACUGGCAAUGCUGCCAGAUGGCUUGCAACACCUCUCCGCACUCCGAGAUUUGUGUAUCACUUCCUGCCCCCAGCUAGUAAUGUUGCCAGAUGGCCUACAACACCUAACUGCACUCCAAUACUUGAGGAUUGGAGAAUGUCCCCAGCUGGCAAGGCGUUGCAAGAGGGAGAUAGGUGAGGACUGGCACAAGAUUGCUCAUAUCCCAAAUGUCAAGUUCUGGCCGCUGAAAGAAGAUGGAGAAGAAAGCGGUAAACGACGCACCUUCGUUGCGAAAUUUCUCAGUCAAUUGGGGUGUGCACGCUGCAUGGGUCAUAGCUAAGGUGCCAACAGCUCCAUCUAGAAGUGUACUGCCUUUAUUGUUAUUGUUUAUUCUCAAACAUUGUUAUCCAACAUGGAGGAGAGAAGUGACAGAUCUUCCUAGACUGCACUUUGGUUCAAGGAGCUCAGCUGUCAUCACCUUUAAGGAGCUUGGUGACCAUGCCAAUCAAUCUUUAAAGCCUCACAGAGCUCUAGAGCUUGCAAAUCUUUUGUUACUUCUGGAGAGAUGAUGCCAAAAGGGAGGAGUCAAAAAUUAGCACCGGUGUACUUGCUUUCAAUCCAUAAACAAAAGAUAUCCAUGUUUGCUUCUGUUUUUAUUUAUUUGGUCUUCUGUCUUGUGCUGCUUAUUGUCAUUACUAUGAAUAAUGUCACAUUUUCUUUUUUUUUCUCCUCUACUUUUUAUUUUUAAAAUGCAGCAGGGUUCUAUUUGUAUAUCACUCAAAUUAUAUUGUCAGAACGCCAUCUAAGAUUUUUGAUGUCCCCUUGUUUUUUGCUUUGUUGUUUAUCAUUUUCUCAAACGGGAAUUCCCGCUGUUCCUUUGGAUUGUAUUCCAAGAACAAAGGGAUUCCAUAGAUUGUUGUCCUUUUACUAUUAUUGGUGUAUUGUUUCAUGAACAGCAUCACACUCAAUUUGCCUUUGUAUAUAUUUAUUACAUAAAUCUGGAUUACACCAUAUCACCUUCAAACCAUGUUACGUUAGUAGUUGUUAUCAUUUCCAAAAAUGAAUACUUAAAGUUACUUCAUUUUCAUACUCAGUCACAUCUCUUCCAACUUAAGCCCUCUACCUUGCACAUUUGCCUUCUUUUCUUGGUGUACAGUCUUUAUGAAUUAUUAGUUAAUUUGUGCUAAUCAUAUACAACUUGAUCUUGUCACAAAAGGCCAACCACUUCGGUGAAUCUAAGACAAUUUCUGCGAACAAUGGAUUCUCUGAAGAUUUUUCUCUGCUAGAUUCAACUUUGGUCUUUUACUAAUCUAUCUAAUUGGGUCUUGACCCUAUGUUAGAAUCGACAAAUAUGAUAAAUUAAACACUAUUCUCCAGUGCAGUUAAAAAAAAAGGCAGAAUUUAUAAAUGAAUGAAGAAUUAUUUGAAGGGGGUUAUAUUCAUUUGUGAUUAGUUAUUGUGAGAAACUGACUAGUUAGCUUGAGGUAUUAUGCAGGAUAAUGAGCCUUCACUAUGAAACGCCAAUAGAUGGCUCGUGACACCUCACAACUCCCCAAGAACUUAUGAUCAGGCUGCUAUCCCAAGUUGGUGAGAUGAUAAGAGGGAGAGAAGAGAAGACUGGUACAUGAUUGUUCACAACCCAGAUGUUGGAAUCAUUCCAAAAGAAAUUUGCCCAUCAGUAGAAGAGGAAAGAAAUAUAGACGUUGUAAAACCAUCCAAAAACUGUUCUACAGGAAUCAAACAGAGAAGAGAGGAGCAGAAGAUCUACUGCUGCUUAACCUAUCAGACGCUUGGGAUUGGCAACCUGCAUGUUUGGGUCAUGGCUGAAGCAAAAGAACAUAACUAUCUUUGUUGGUUCUUCAUCUUCCCCCUUCCUUUUCUUUCUGCUUUCCCCCUUAAGAAAAUGCCAAAACAUUUACACUUAGUUAUUGCCAAACUUUAUGCUUAUCUGUUUCAUCAAUAAUCUUAUUAUCUUGCUUGGCAUGCUUGUUUUCAAAUUCCAAGAAUAUUGCCUCUUACUUGAUAGAUGUAUCCUAUAUUUUUUUUUCUUGGAAUCUGCUAUCAUCUCUUCGCUAAUUAACUCUCUUUUUUUGCAUACUGUAAGAAUUUGUAAAAAGUCUACAUUUUCUACCCCUUGCAAUCUCAAUACCCACUCUAAAUCUUGUCGUGCAGUUUUUAUUUCCUAAACAAAACCUCAACUUGAAUGCUGUUUACAUGCUCUUUCCUAAUAUUUAAAAUCAGUAGCUACAAGCUGAUGCCUAGCGAGGCACCACCAUGUAUGGCCCUUCUAUUUCUCUCUGAAAGUAUGUUUCUUGUAAUCAGCAUCCUGCUGAAAGACUGUCAAAUUUCUUAGAGUCUGCAUGAAUGUUUUUAGAGUCACUAAAUUGUCUUAUUCUUUCUCUGCAGACAUUCUAAGACUAAAUUCACUUUGCAACAUGCCACCGGUGUUCCAAAGGACUUGCCAACCACGCUUGAAAGCCUUGCAUAACUCUGGAAUUUGUCAGAUUUCGAAUUUCUCUUUUCUUCCGGGAAACAAUACCAAAAAGGAGAGAUGCAAUUGUCAGCAACAGAAAACUCACUUCCAUUUCCACCAAUAAAAUAUCUAUUUAUUUUUCUGUCAGAUUUAUGUUUUUCUGAAAUAUGUUGCAGAGAUGUUCUUAUGUAAAUCAUUUAUGUUAUACCUGGACAAAUCAUUCCGAAGAUUUUCCCUUAUUCUUAGAA